rnacentral:rRNA from 1 species
AUUGAACGCUGGCGGCAGGCCUAACACAUGCAAGUCGAGCGGAUGAAGGGAGCUUGCUCCUGGAUUCAGCGGCGGACGGGUGAGUAAUGCCUAGGAAUCUGCCUGGUAGUGGGGGAUAACGUCCGGAAACGGGCGCUAAUACCGCAUACGUCCUGAGGGAGAAAGUGGGGGAUCGUCGGACCUCACGCUAUCAGAUGAGCCUAGGUCGGAUUAGCUAGUUGGUGGGGUAAAGGCCUACUAAGGCGACGAUCCGUAACUGGUCUGAUAGGAGGAUUAGUCGCACUGGAACUGGGACACGGUCCAGACUCCUACGGGAGGCAGCAGUGGGGAAUAUUGGACAAUGGGCGAAAGCCUGAUCCAGCCAUGCCGCGUGUGUGAAGAAGGUCUUCGGAUUGUAAAGCACUUUAAGUUGGGAGGAAGGGCAGUAAGUUAAUACCUUGCUGUUUUGACGUUACCAACAGAAUAAGCACCGGCUAACUUCGUG